rnacentral:rRNA from 1 species
GAUGAACGCUGGCGGCGUGCCUAAUACAUGCAAGUCGAGCGAACGGACGAGAAGCUUGCUUCUCUGAUGUUAGCGGCGGACGGGUGAGUAACACGUGGAUAACCUACCUAUAAGACUGGGAUAACUUCGGGAAACCGGAGCUAAUACCGGAUAAUAUUUUGAACCGCAUGGUUCAAAAGUGAAAGACGGUCUUGCUGUCACUUAUAGAUGGAUCCGCGCUGCAUUAGCUAGUUGGUAAGGUAACGGCUUACCAAGGCAACGAUGCAUAGCCGACCUGAGAGGGUGAUCGGCCACACUGGAACUGAGACACGGUCCAGACUCCUACGGGAGGCAGCAGUAGGGAAUCUUGCGCAAUGGGCGAAAGCCUGACGGAGCAACGCCGCGUGAGUGAUGAAGGUCUUCGGAUCGUAAAACUCUGUUAUUAGGGAAGAACAUAUGUGUAAGUAACUGUGCACAUCUUGACGGUACUUAAUCAGAAAGCCACGGCUAACUACGUG